rnacentral:rRNA from 1 species
AGCGAACGCUGGCGGCAGGCCUAACACAUGCAAGUCGAACGAACUCUUCGGAGUUAGUGGCGGACGGGUGAGUAACACGUGGGAACGUGCAUUUUGGUUCGGAAUAACUCAGGGAAACUUGUGCUAAUAACGAAUGUGCUCAUCGCGGGAAAGAUUUAUCGCCAUUAGAGCGGCCCGCGUCUGAUUAGCUAGUUGGUGAGGUAACGGCUCACCAAGGCGACGAUCAGUAGCUGGUCUGAGAGGAUGACCAGCGACACUGGGACUGAGACACGGCCCAGACUCCUACGGGAGGCAGCAGUGGGGAAUCUUGCGCAAUGGGCGAAAGCCUGACGCAGCCAUGCCGCGUGAAUGAUGAAGGUCUUAGGAUUGUAAAAUUCUUUCACCGGGGACGAUAAUGACGGUACCCGGAGAAGAAGCCCCGGCUAACUUCGUG